AUUUUUGCACCGAAAUUAGGUUUUAUUCAUUUCACGUGAAUAAAUUAAAAGGGAAUCUGGUUAAAAUCCAGAACUGUUCCCGCAACUGUAAGCUACAAAGCUUCAUGUUAAACUUCAAGUCACUGAAGAAUUUCUUUGGGAAGACCAACAUGAGGACGCAAGUCAGGAGACCUGCCAAUUUCAAACAAAAUAA
rnacentral:ncRNA from 2 species